rnacentral:rRNA from 1 species
AAAAGACCAUUAUUUUUAGUAACACCUGCUCAAUGAUUUUUAAAUAGCCGCAGUUUCUGUGCUAAGGUAGCAUAAUCAUUUGCCUAAUAAUUAUAGGAUGGAAUGAAAGGUGAUACAUGUUAUCUUCUUUAUUAAAAAGAUUUAUUUAAUUUAAUAUUUAAGUAAAAACUCUUAAAUUAUUAGGGGGACGACAAGACCCUGACGAACUUUACUCUGAGUUUAGCUGGGGCGGCAGAUAAAUCAAACCUUUCCUCUACCCUUCCUUAGUGAUCCUAAAAAUUGAUAAUCAAGUUACCGCAGGGAUAACAGCAUAACAUUUUCCUGAAGACCUUAUACAAGAAAAUAUUUGUGACCUCGAUGUUGAAUUAAAAUUCUAUUAGAAGCAGCAUUCUAAUAAGAGAGUCUGUUCGACUCUUAAAUAUUU